UACCAGCACCCCGAGUGGUCGGGACGAUUAUUGGGCCUAAAGCAUCCGUAGCCGGUUCUACAAGUCUUCCGUUAAAUCCACCUGCUCAACAGAUGGGCUGCGGAGGAUACUAUAGAGCUAGGAGGCGGGAGAGGCAAGCGGUACUUAGUGGGUAGGGGUAAAAUCCGUUGAUCCAUUGAAGCCCACCAGUGGCGAAGGCGGCUUGCCAGAACGCACUCGACGGUGAGGGAUGAAAGCUGGGGGAGCAAACCGG
rnacentral:rRNA from 1 species